UACGAAGGGGGCUAGCGUUGCUCGGAAUUACUGGGCGUAAAGGGCGCGUAGGCGGCACUGUUAGUCAGGCGUGAAAUUCCUGGGCUCAACCUGGGGACUGCGCUUGAUACGGCAGAGCUAGAGGAUGGAAGAGGCUCGCGGAAUUCCCAGUGUAGAGGUGAAAUUCGUAGAUAUUGGGAAGAACACCGGUGGCGAAGGCGGCGCUCUGGACCGAGACUGACGCUGAGGCGCGAAAGCGUGGGGAGCAAACAGG
rnacentral:rRNA from 1 species